CUGCCCAUUACUGGACGUUAGUAUUGUAAAGAAACUGCUGCUUCUGCAUUUUUCAUUUCUCCAUGAAAACACUGCUCAAUUAGCAAUCGCAUUGGCAUUACAUAUAAACUGAUAAAAGGAUUCAAAGAGGAUAGCUUCUAAAUACACUGAUAAUAAAACUCUUAUACAUACAAUUUGAAAGGCCGUAGUAUAUAAACCAAAGAGGAGUAAAGUUAACAUAUAAGGUAAGAAUACAUCUCCAGAAAUAUUUUGAUAUUGAACUUAUUGAUACACACGUUGUUGUCAUGGAGACAGCAGCAAUUUUGUGAAUAAAAUUUUGUACAUCGAUCUGUCCAGCAUUUAUUAGUUUUAAGAAUUACGAAAUACGUUAAUGUGUUAACGUAAUAAGAUAUGCAGAAACAAAAAUUUAAUGAAAAAACGUGUUGAAAAGAUAUUUGUACAACUUGUCUGCUCCACAGAAAUUACUUGUUUGAUAUUUACUAUAAAGAAUGUUUAAUAAGUGAAGUGUUUGCAUUCUGGUCGAUUCAGAAAUAAAACAGGUAUGUCAAAUAACGCCUGGAGAAGAAUUUUCCAAAGAUAUACCAAAUAUUUCACACGUUGGGUUACAAGUUGUGUUAAGUUGUGUUACUAAAA